rnacentral:rRNA from 1 species
AUUCUGGCUCAGGAUGAACGCUAGCGGCAGGCUUAACACAUGCAAGUCGAGGGGCAUCGGGAGUAGCAAUACUUGCCGGCGACCGGCGCAAGGGUGCGUAACGCGUGAGCAACAUGCCCGUAUCAGGGGGGAUAAUCCAUGGAAACGUGGUCUAAUACCCCAUAGUAAUUAUGUAAGGCAUCUUAUAUAAUUUAAAGCUUUGGUGGAUACGGAUUGGCUCGCGUGACAUUAGCUGGAUGGUAAGGUAACGGCUUACCAUGGCUACGAUGUCUAGGGGUUCUGAGAGGAAGGUCCCCCCACACUGGAACUGAGACACGGUCCAGACUCCUACGGGAGGCAGCAGUGAGGAAUAUUGGACAAUGGAUGGAAAUCUGAUCCAGCCAUGCUGCGUGACAGGAAGACGGCCCUAUGGGUUGUAAACUGCUUUUGUAUGGGAGCAAUAAGGGCUACGUGUAGUCCGAUGAGAGUACCAUACGAAUAAGCACCGGCUAACUCCGUGCCAGCCGCCGC